UAGCUUAGUUGGUAAAGAAUCUGCCUGCAAUGCAGGAGACCUGGGUUCAAUUCCUGG
rnacentral:tRNA from 1 species